CAGCCAGCCUGCUCACCAAGAGUCUAACCCCGUCCUCCUGAGUGCUCAUUCACUCACACAGCAGAUUGAUUACACUUAUGUGUUGCUUGCAACUAAAUGAGCGCACCUGGAGCUGGAAGCACGUUUUGCACGGAUGCACAAUGAGGUGUCAUGUGCAGAUGUGGCAUGCCAGAACUAAAUAUAAAUAAUGCACUGUGACUUUCAGUAUGCUUGUAGAUUUGUCCGCCAAUCCCCCUUUAUUUAUCCAGGAGAGUCUCCUGAGAUUGAGAAACUCUAUAAAAAAUGUAAACAAGGAGAUGAUUUCUACUUUUUUUAUUGUUGUUAGCAACAGUGCAUACUGAUGAACAUCAGCAGUGUAAAUAUGACAUUCUAGUUCAGUUGAUGUGUUGUCCCCAGGUGCAUGGAAACAGACAAAUAAGAAUAGGAAUACAAGGGAAGCAAUAAACAAAACUUAAAAAUACAUUAAAAGUAAUCACAGACCUCAUUCCGUUUCAUCCGCUGUUUAGUAGGCGGUUCCAGUUUUUUAUUAGUUAAAAAAGAAUGCUAUAUUGAGCUUCAGCAGUGCAGUACAACAAAGUGCAUAGAUAAACAACAACUGGGCUCAGAUGUUUUUUCAUUUUGUUUUUAUAGUGGAAGCUAUCAUCCACACCAAACAAAUUAAAAAACACAAAAAAAACUAGCAAUAAAUAAAUAAAUAUUAUAUAUAAGAAAGAUAAAUACGUAGAUACAUUAAUAAAGCAUGGUGUGACAGGGGUUAGUGCAUGUGCCUCACAAUACAAAGGUCCUGGGUUCAGUCCCGGGCUCAGGGUCUUUCUGUGUGGAGUUUGCAUAUUCUCCCCGUGACUGCGUGGAUUCCCUCCGGGAACUCCGGCUUCCUCCCACUUCCAAAGACAUGCACCUGGGGAUAGGUUGAUUGGCAACACUAAAUUGUCCCUAGUGUGUCUAUCUGUGUCAGCUCUGCGAUGAGGUGGUGACUUGUCCAGGGUGUACACCGUCCUCCACCCUUGUUUAGCUGAGAUAUAUCCCCCGCGACCCCGAAAGGGAAAAGCAGUAGAAAAUGGAUAGAUGGAUACAUUUGAUCAAACUUAUUCAAAGAACGUUGAAGAAAAAAUCUUACAAUUUUUAAAUUUCCAGAUUUGAAUUGCACAACACAAUUCCCUAAUGCAUCGAUCGUAAAAUGGAGGCCCAGCAAAGAUGCAUUUAACUAUGAAAAAUGGUGUAUUAGAAGUGUGUUGUCCAAAAUCUUGAUGCUUGAAUUUAGACCGUUUUUUAAUGUGUUUUUUUUAAUAAGUUCGACUUGUAAAAUGUCGUUUUGUGUGUCUGUAGCUUUAAUGCUGAUAAGCUGCAUUUGUGUGUGUCUCUAUGUAACCCAAUUGUGUAUCCACUUUUUACAUACACACUAACUUUUAGCUUUAGUACUAACAUUUUAGCAUCUUUAUGUUUGGUUAGCUUAUUCACUGAAGGGUCAGAUACCAAAUUUUAACCGACUGGUGGUUAGUUGGCAAACAAGCUUUUUUGAAGUGUAGCAGAUGCUGUUUUUCUUUUUUUUUUAUUUUUUUUUUACAAAACUGUGUUCCGUGAAGUGCAGGGCAUGUACAUAUUUAGUAGCAGGUGGCAUUAUGUACAGGAGGAAGGAGUUUGUUUUUUUACAAACCCCGUUUCCAUAUGUGUUGGGAAAUUGUGUUAGAUGUAAAUAUAACAGAAUACAAUGAUUUGCAAAUCCUUUUCAACCCAUAUUCAGUUGAAUGCACUACAAAGACAAGAUAUUUGAUGUUCAAACUCAAAAAACUUUAUUUUAUUUUUGCAAAUAAUAAUUAACUUAGAAUUUCAUGGCUGUAACACAUGCCAAAGUAGUUGGGAAAGGGCAUGUUCACCACUGUGUUACAUCACCUUUUCUUUUAACAACACUCAAUAAACGUUUGGGAACUGAGGAAACUAAUUGUUGAAGCUUCGAAAGUGGAAUUAUUUCCCAUUCUUGUUUUAUGUAGAACUUUAGUCGUUCAACAGUCCGGGGUCUCCGCUGUCGUAUUUUACGCUUCAUAAUGCACCACACAUUUUCGAUGGGAGACAGGUCUGGUCUGCAGGCGGGCCAGGGAAGUACCCGCACUCUUUUUUUUACGAAGCCACGCUGUUGUAACAUGUGCAGAUUGUGGCUUGGCAUUGUUUUGCUGAAAUAAGCAGGGGCGUCCAUGAAAAAGACGGCGCUUAGAUGGCAGCCUAUGUUGUUCCAAAACCUGUAUGUACCUUUCAGCAUUAAUGGUGCCUUCACAGAUGUGUAAGUUACCCAUGCCUUGGGCACUAAUGCACCCCCAUACCAUCACAGAUGCUGGCUUUUGAACACACUGAGAACACGAAGGGGGGCAGAACACAGGGAGAGCAGGAUCGCAAAAAGCAGGAUGAGAGCUUACUGAACUCACAGGUGUGGACUGCGGCCGGAGAGUGGGCGCGGUCCGCUUCAUGAACGCGGGGGCGUGUCCAGGGGUGCGCUGUCAGCGGGCCGUCUGGGUGGAACCGCAGUGGAGGAAGAUGCAGACCGCAUGUGCCACAACACACCCGUUCCCAAUUAGCCUGCACACCUGUGGGAUGUUCCAAAUAAGUGUUUGAUGAGCAUUCCUCAACUUUAUCAGUAUUCAUUGCCACCUUUCCCAACUUCUUUGUCAUGUGUUUCUGGCAUCAAAUUUUAAAGGUAAUGAUUUCCCAACUCAUGGAAACGGGGUUUGUAUCUCUGACAAUAAUGACAUCAAGUAAAAAAGUCAGCGUUUGAGUGCAUCUUCUUUCAAAAGAAAUGAGAGGAAGAGAAAUUCUCAUAAACAGACUCACUUUAACGUUUUAAUAUUAAAUAGGAACUGCAUUA